rnacentral:rRNA from 1 species
GACGAACGCUGGCGGCGUGCUUAACACAUGCAAGUCGAACGGAAAGGCCCUGCUUUUGUGGGGUGCUCGAGUGGCGAACGGGUGAGUAACACGUGAGUAACCUGCCCUUGACUUUGGGAUAACUUCAGGAAACUGGGGCUAAUACCGGAUAGGAGCUCCUGCUGCAUGGUGGGGGUUGGAAAGUUUCGGCGGUUGGGGAUGGACUCGCGGCUUAUCAGCUUGUUGGUGGGGUAGUGGCUUACCAAGGCUUUGACGGGUAGCCGGCCUGAGAGGGUGACCGGCGACAUGGGGACUGAGAUACGGCGCAGACUCCUACGGGAGGCAGCAGUGGGGAAUAUUGCGCAAUGGGCGGAAGCCUGAUGCAGCAACGCCGCGUGCGGGAUGACGGCCUUCGGGUUGUAAACCGCUUUGGACUGUGACGAAGCGUGAGUGACGGUAAUGGGUAAAGAAGCACCGGCUAACUACGUG